rnacentral:rRNA from 1 species
UACGGGGGGGGGUAAGCGUUGUUCGGAAUUACUGGGCGUAAAGGGCGCGUAGGCGGCGUGACAAGUCACUUGUGAAAUCUCCGGGCUUAACUCGGAACGGUCAAGUGAUACUGUCGUGCUAGAGUACAGAAGGGGCAACUGGAAUUCUCGGUGUAGCGGUGAAAUGCGUAGAUAUCGAGAGGAACACCUGCGGCGAAGGCGGGUUGCUGGGCUGAUACUGACGCUGAGGCGCGAAAGCCAGGGGAGCGAACGGG